AGCGAACGCUGGCGGCGUGCCUAACACAUGCAAGUCGAACGUGAAAAGGGAAACCUGAGUAAAGUGGCGUACGGGUGAGUAACGCGUAGGUAAUCUACCCCAGCAUCUGGAAUAACCUGCCGAAAGGCGGGCUACUACUGGAUAGAGCGAGGGAACUCGUAAGAGAGUUUUUCGGGAAAGGGAGCCCGCAAGGGCCUUCGUUCUGGGAUGAGCCUGCGUCUCAUUAGCUAGUUGGUAAGGUAACGGCUUACCAAGGCGAUGAUGAGUAGCUGGUCUGAGAGGAUGGUCAGCCACACUGGAAAUGGAGAAAGGGCCAGACUCCUAAGGGAGGCAGCAGUGGGGAAUCUUGCGGAAUGGACGAAAGUCCGACGCGGGCACGCCGCGGGAGGGAAGAAGGCCUUCGGGUUGUAAAGAUCUGUCGGAUGGGACGAACAACUUCAUAGUGAAUAGCUAUGAGGACUGACGGUACCAUCAAAGGAAGCAACGGCUAACUCCGUG
rnacentral:rRNA from 1 species